rnacentral:tRNA from 1 species
GGGUGUAUAGCUCAGCUGGUUAGAGCGCGUCACUGAUAAUGACGAGGUCCCCCGUUCGAGUCGGGGUACACCCACUA